CUAGAGCAUACAGUCAAUCCAAGCUUGCGAACUUUUUCCACGCCAAAGAACUGGCAAUAAGAUUCAAGGCCGAAGGAGUUGACAUCACAGCCAACACUGUUCAUCCAGGGUUUAUAAUGACACCUUUGAUGGCAAUGAGAUUCAAGGCUGAAGGAGUUGACAUCACAGCCAAUGCUGUUCAUCUAGGGUUUAUAAU